AAUAGAUACCCAGGUAGUCCACGCCCUAAACGAUGUCUACUAGUUGUUGGUGGAGUAAAAUCCAUGAGUAACGCAGCUAACGCGUGAAGUAGACCGCCUGGGGAGUACGGUCGCAAGAUUAAAACUCAAAGGAAUUGACGGGGGCCCGCACAAGCGGUGGAUUAUGUGGAUUAAUUCGAUGCAACGCGAAAAACCUUACCUGGCCUUGACAUGCCACUAACGAAGCAGAGAUGCAUUAGGUGCCCGUAAGGGAAAGUGGACACAGGUGCUGCAUGGCUGUCGUCAGCUCGUGCCGUGAGAUGUUGGGUUAAGUCCCGCAACGAGCGCAACCCUUGCCAUUAAUUGCCAUCAUUUAGUUGGGCACUUUAAUGGGACUGCCGGUGACAAACCGGAGGAAGGUGGGGAUGACGUCAAGUCCUCAUGGCCCUUAUGGCCAGGGCUUCACACGUAAUACAAUGGUCGGUACAGAGAGUUGCCAAGCCGCGAGGUGGAGCUAAUCUCAGAAAGCCGAUCGUAGUCCGGAUUGUUCU
rnacentral:rRNA from 1 species